AGAUUGUCAUGGUCUGCAGUGGGUGGCUGGAAUUUCCAUAAGGCUCCUGAACUUACCUGGGAUCCGCCCUUGGGCAGGGCCAACUCCUCCAGCUCCUGCACACCUGGAGCCUAUUGCAGGCAAUCAAGCCAGAGGGAUUUAAGCCACACGUUGAUGUUCGUUCACUGCCAGUUCGUCAUCAACUCAUGUUGGUAACAGGCCUGAUGCGUCAAGUUCUCGCUGUGAUUUACCUUACUAACAAUACUUUCUUGUGCUGCAGUUGCUGUUUUCACCUUGCCUCAUGCUCCACCUCUGGACUCAGGAUACCAAGCAAACAUUUUGAAAAUCACUCUGUGCCUCACCUGCCUGCCCUCCUGCCAUCACACUGAAGACCCCGGAUCUCAGGUCAGCCUUGUCACACCACUCAGCCCCCCCGGAUUUUCAUCACCCCCCUCUCAACACUCUAUGUCCCCAACUGCAAUGUGACUGUUCCCUGCUCAGCUCCACUCUGCAUCUCAGGCCCCGUUCCCUCGCCCUAGCCACGCCACGCCAAACUCCACGUCUUAUUGUUUUUUGUCCUUGCUACGUUUCUUGCACUCCAGCCUAAUAAAUUAUUGUUACAUCA